AGUGAACGCUGGCGGUAGGCCUAACACAUGCAAGUCGAACGGCAGCACAGUAAUAGCUUGCCCUUACGGGCGACGAGUGGCGGAAGGGUUAGGUAUACAGCGGAAUCUACUUUUUCGUGGGGAGUAACGUAGGGAAACUUCCGCUAAUACAGCAUACCACCUACGGGUGAAAGCAGGAGAUCUUGGGACCUUGGGCGAAUGAAUGAGCCGUUGUCGGGUUAGUUGGUUGGCGGGGUAAAGGCCCACCGACGCGUCGCUCCGUAGCGGGUCUGAGCGGAGGAAGAGCGACACUGGGAGUGAGACACGGUCCAGACUCCUACGGGAGGCAGCGGUGGGGAAUGGUGGACAAUGGGCGGAAGCCUGAUCCAGCCGUACCGCGUGGGUGAAGAAGGCCUGCGGGUGGGAAAGCCGUUUUGUUGGGGUAGAAAAGCAGCAGGUUAAGACCCGGCUGUUCUGACGGUACCCAAAGAAGAAGCACCGGCUAACUUCGUG
rnacentral:rRNA from 1 species